rnacentral:lncRNA from 1 species
UCAGUCAGCAGCCUUGACGAAUCGGAACACGUCGCGUGGUAAGGCACGCUGACGCGGUGUCAUGCGAGAGGCCACGCUGGCAAUUCGCGUGCCCGCGAUCGGAUGGUCCAGAUUUGUUCCAGCGCGUGUGGACGGUCCGGAUCCGUUCUCUCCUCAGCACGAUCGAACGGUGGCGAUUAAACGCAAUGAACGGUCUAGAUUUAUUUUCUCUUUAAAUAUGAUCGUAUG